CCAACAAUCUAUCUUUUUCUUAUUUUUUACUUUUAUAGCGCCUACCAUUUAUUUUCAUUAAUGUAUAUUUCUUUAUUCUUUUUUUUUUCAAUAAAUAAUGACAAAAUUGAAAUUCAAUUCAAUUCAAUAAUAAAUAAAAUAAAAUAAUUAAACUAAUUAAUACUAAUCAAAAACUAAUACUCACGCAAACAACUAUUUUGGCAUGAUUUUUAUUCACUAACUCUUAUCAACAAUAAAAAAAGUAAAAAUCAUUCAUUCUUCCAUGUUUACGAAACCAUCACCAAUCAAGUGAUCAAUCUUUCUUUCAGAGUGCUUAAAACAGUCUGCUACAUCCAAGCAUGUGAUGUCAACUUUAUUUUUAGAAAGAAAAUUAGCCUCAGGAUUUCUCUUUUUCUUCUUUAGUGAUGCUUGAUAAAGAUCAAUCAAGUGCUUGAGAGCACGACAGUCACGUGAAUAGUGUUCUUUUCCACCACAUCGAAACAAGUAAUUGCUUCACGUUUUUCAUCUUUUCUCUUUCUAUUCGAUGAAUGAUUAACACUCGAAACAAGGUUUCUUUCUUGGUCAUUACGAUCAUGACCACGACUACGACCUCGUCCAGGGCUUCGACCUUUUCCACGCCUAGCAUGGUGAGCAUGCACAUCAUUCACCUCAGGGAAUGGUCCAGAUCCAGUAGGUCGAUUCUCAUGAUUUUUCAUCAACAAAUUAUUAUUUUGUUUAGCCAUGAAAAGAUGAGAACUCAGUUCAGUAUAAUUCUUGAAACCUUUCUCUCGAUAUUGUUGCUGUAAGAGCACAUCGAGGCAUGAAAAGUGGAGAGCGCCUUUUUCAUCAUAUCGUCAUCAUUGAUCGUCUCUCCACAUAGUUUCAAUUCAGAAGAAAUUAUGAACAUGUCAGAAUUAUACUCAUGAACAAACUUAUAAUCUAGAAACCUCAAAUGCAUCCAUUCAUAUUGUACUUUUGGGGGAUGACCAUCUUUAAGUGGUCAAACUUUUCUUUUAGUCUAUUCCACAAUACGAGUGAAUCCUUAGUAAUAAGGUAUUUAAUUUUCAGAAUUUUGUCAAGAUGAUGAUGCAAGAAAAUCAUAGCCUUAGCACGAUACGAUUUUGACUAGAUGUUGUAUUUUCUUUCUUUAUGGCGCCGACUCAUAGCAUCUAAGUGGAUUUCAGCAUCCAACACCCAUGAAAUAUAGUUCUUGCCCAAACUUUGAAGAUUGUUAGCCAUAGCAUUUAGGUAACGAACUCACACUUCGUAAGAUUGUUAGCCAUAUGAAAAAAGGAAAGAAAAAUAAUAUCUUAGCCUUCAAAUUUGAGACGGUAGAGUCUCGUGCGAGAGAAAGAGAGAGUAAUUGUUAUUUAUCUUGGGGAUAACAAGAGUAAAGAGAGAAAGAGAGAGUAAUUGUUAUUUAUC
rnacentral:lncRNA from 1 species